rnacentral:rRNA from 1 species
GCUUAACACAUGCAAGUCGAGGGGCAGCACAGGUAGCAAUACCGGGUGGCGACCGGCGCACGGGUGAGUAACGCGUAUGCAACUUGCCUAUCAGAGGGGGAUAACCCGGCGAAAGUCGGACUAAUACCGCAUGAAGCAGGGGCCCCGCAUGGGGAUAUUUGCUAAAGAUUCAUCGCUGAUAGAUAGGCAUGCGUUCCAUUAGGCAGUUGGCGGGGUAACGGCCCACCAAACCGACGAUGGAUAGGGGUUCUGAGAGGAAGGUCCCCCACAUUGGUACUGAGACACGGACCAAACUCCUACGGGAGGCAGCAGUGAGGAAUAUUGGUCAAUGGCCGAGAGGCUGAACCAGCCAAGUCGCGUGAGGGAUGAAGGUUCUAUGGAUCGUAAACCUCUUUUAUAAGGGAAUAAAGUGCGGGACGUGUCCCGUUUUGUAUGUACCUUAUGAAUAAGGAUCGGCUAACUCCGUGCCAGCAGCCGCGGUAAUACGGAGGAUCCGAGCGUUAUCCGGAUUUAUUGGGUUUAAAGGGUGCGUAGGCGGCCUUUUAAGUCAGCGGUGAAAGUCUGUGGCUCAACCAUAGAAUUGCCGUUGAAACUGGGGGGCUUGAGUAUGUUUGAGGCAGGCGGAAUGCGUGGUGUAGCGGUGAAAUGCAUAGAUAUCACGCAGAACCCCGAUUGCGAAGGCAGCCUGCCAAGCCAUUACUGACGCUGAUGCACGAAAGCGUGGGGAUCAAACAGGAUUAGAUACCCUGGUAGUCCACGCAGUAAACGAUGAUCACUAGCUGUUUGCGAUACACUGUAAGCGGCACAGCGAAAGCGUUAAGUGAUCCACCUGGGGAGUACGCCGGCAACGGUGAAACUCAAAGGAAUUGACGGGGGCCCGCACAAGCGGGGGAACAUGUGGUUUAAUUCGAUGAUACGCGAGGAACCUUACCCGGGUUUGAACGCAUUCGGACCGAGGUGGAAACACCUUUUCUAGCAAUAGCCGUUUGCGAGGUGCUGCAUGGUUGUCGUCAGCUCGUGCCGUGAGGUGUCGGCUUAAGUGCCAUAACGAGCGCAACCCUUGCCACUAGUUACUAACAGGUAAAGCUGAGGACUCUGGUGGGACUGCCAGCGUAAGCUGCGAGGAAGGCGGGGAUGACGUCAAAUCAGCACGGCCCUUACAUCCGGGGCGACACACGUGUUACAAUGGCGUGGACAAAGGGAAGCCACCUGGCGACAGGGAGCGAAUCCCCAAACCACGUCUCAGUUCGGAUCAGAGUCUGCAACCCGACUCCGUGAAGCUGGAUUCGCUAGUAAUCGCGCAUCGGCCAUGGCGCGGUGAAUACGUUCCCGGGCCUUGUACACACCGCCCGUCAAGCCAUGGGAGCCGGGGGUACCUGAAGUCCGUAACCGCGAGGAUCGGCCUAGGGUAAAACUGGUGACUGGGGCUAA